UUUUGGACUUGCUCUGCAUGUCGGGCUCCCUGCACUUUUGGUGUGGCCAACCGAACAUGGGGUUGUCUCUUCACUCUCCCUCCCGUCAUUGAACAUGUCGUGGUCGGGAUGCUUCCGAUUGAUUGCCUGUGCGGUUCUACCCUCUUGUGGGUAGCGAAGUUUUUCCUGGAUGGAUAUUUGCUUGCCCUUCUGACCUUUUUGUGUCGAUUGGGCAGUCGAAAUGUUGGCGAAAUCCUUGUGUUGGUGCGUGGUCGAAUGCUGUGUUGCUAUCACUUGGAUUUUUGUUGGCUCUCAUGGAUGCGGUGCAUAGUGCUAAGCUCUGUGGGACUUUGGCCCGCAGACUUCGGGAGGUUCCUUGUACGAAUCAUUGCUCUUAUACGCCGUUUGUCGUGUUGCCAUCGUGACACGCAGAUCGUGUUCUUUCGUGCAGUCGUAGAUAGCGCGUUGUUGAACAUUAGUGUCCGGAGCGUGGUCUUGUGCAUGCGGAUUCCUCUUCGAUUGUACGAGUAGCGAUUUUCGGUUUGUGUCCUGCGAAGGCCUGACCCGUCUGGGUCGGUGCCAGAGCUGAUGCGCCGGCUCUCGUUUAAGACGUGC
rnacentral:misc_RNA from 1 species